CCUGUCUAUAAUUGAAUAAUAAUUGAAUGGUUUUUCGGUACGAACGAACUUGUCUGGAGAGCUUUUAAGUUAAAAUUGAUAUUCAGUUAUGAUAAGAUAUUAGAAGAUGCAUAUUUUAAUCCGUUAAGAGGUUAUGUCAUACGUUAACAACAUGUUUUAGAUAUAAUAAUAAUAUAUAAGGAAAAUUUCAUAUUAUGAAAUGAAAUUCAUUUUCAAUGACGAAAGAUUAAAGGAAAAGUCGUAAUGUGUUAUUUCUUCGUUUUUUUCGUUGAAUUUGUUUGUUUGUUUGCAUGAAGAAGUUAAUGUUGGAAAGAGAUAAGAGAGAAAACUUCCGGUAUUUUAUUAAAAAUUUAUCUAUACAUAGAAAAGAAAAUAUUGCAUUUUCUUACGUUUGAUAUGUCAAAGUUAUUGCAAGAUCUAUGUAAAUAUAUCGAGAUUUUAAUUGAAUUGAGAAGAAAAUAUAAAAUAGAAAUAUGAAUACAUGGUAAUAUUGUUCAUGAUUAUCUAUAUUGUGUCAAAUACUAAAUUUAUUGUAUAUGUUGUGUUAUAUAUUGUGUGUUAACAUAGAUUUCAAAUUAUAUUUAUUAUAGAAUAUUAUUUGUAUAAAUUACAUUCAUAAUUUCACAAAUACUAAAUACUAAACAUUGCUAAAUCUAAUUUUUUUCAAAAUUAAUUAAUAUUAAAAUAAAAAUAUAUCAUUAUAAAUAAUUUUUAAAUAAUUACAUUGCAUCAUUUGAUAGAACAAAUCUUACAAUAUAACUAAUACUCAAAUAUAAUUUUAUAAUUUUUAUUAUUGAUUAAAGAUCGAAGAUCCUUGAAAUGUUACGAUUUCGAUAAUAAUUGUUCCCCAAACGCGGUAUCCACGAUAUAAUCUGGCCAUUGUCGAGACGUAGCAAAUCCAAGCAGAAACUGGAAUUGGCCAGCUUCUGUGUCCUGCGGUGCAGUUUCAAACAAUGCAGGAACAAUAGAUGCAACUUUCGUGAAAUGAUAAUUUCAAGUUUGCUCUAGUUUCGACUUAAUAAGUUUAUAUAACAAGUAUCGCACCGUUACGUUCAACUUCCAAAUUUGCGUGCGAGAAAAGAUUUACUAUGAUAUGAUCCAUCGUGAUAAGAAUAAAUUAAAAUAGGCUCGUUAAUUUACUUACCAAUUGAAAUACAUGAAACAUUGCAUAACAUGAAUACUCAAGAAACUUAGAAUUUAAAAAAGAGAUAAUAAUGUUUGUACAGGAUAUCCAAGUUUAAAGAUAAUAUAUCUAUUAUAUUAUAUUUUUUUUAAAUGGAAUUAUGUAAUUUUUAAUAAUUAAUUGAUGGAAAAGAAAUUGAAUCUAUAAAAUAAUAAUUUUUCAAUUUUAUAGUAUUUUAUUUGAAUAAAAAAUAAAAAUUUCUUUUUUAGAAAAUUUUUACGAAUGAUUGUAUAUAUCAAUCUUUGAUUAUAUAUAAUGUUACAUUAAGCUUUGUUAUUGAUAAAUAUAUAAAAAUUUAUCUUUAAUAUUAAUAGUAAUAUUUAUACAGACAUUAAUUAUUAUCACUCUUUAAAAAUGACUUAUUUAUUUUUUUGGAUAUCUAUUGUGAUUAUGUGAGAUUUUAAUGAUAGUUCACUGUAAUAAGAACUUCACAAUGGUUAAUUUACGACGUUGCAAAUUUUUUCGCAACCAUCAAAUGUAGUCAACAAUGUCAAUGAACUUUUAUAGAAAUAUUGGUUUGAAAUACAUAAUGCAAUAAUUAAUUAAACGCAAAA